GUCCACGCCGUAACGAUGAGUACUAGGUGUCGCGGGUAUUGACCCUGCGGUGCCGCAGCUAACGCAUUAAGUACUCCGCCUGGGAAGUACGGCCGCAAGGCUAAACUCAAAGGAAUUGACGGGCCCGCACAAGCGGUGGAGCAUGUGGUUUAAUUCGACGCAACGCGCAGAACCUUACCUGGGCUUGACAUCUGCGGAACCUCUAUGAAAGUAGGGGUGCCUUCGGGAGCCGCAAGACAGGUGCUGCAUGGCUGUCGU
rnacentral:rRNA from 1 species